rnacentral:rRNA from 1 species
AGUGAACGCUGGCGGUAGGCCUAACACAUGCAAGUCGAACGGCAGCACAGUAAGAGCUUGCUCUUACGGGUGGCGAGUGGCGGACGGGUGGGGAAUACAUCGGAAUCUACUUUUUCGUGGGGGAUAACGUAGGGAAACUUACGCUAAUACCGCAUACGACCUACGGGUGAAAGCAGGGGAUCUUCGGACCUUGCGCGAUUGAUUGAGCCGAUGUCGGAUUAGCUAGUUGGCGGGGUAAAGGCCCACCAAGGCGACGAUCCGCAGCUGGUCUGAGAGGAUGAUCAGCCACACUGGAACUGAGACACGGUCCAGACUCCUACGGGAGGCAGCAGUGGGGAAUAUUGGACAAUGGGCGCAAGCCUGAUCCAGCCAUACCGCGUGGGUGAAGAAGGCCUUCGGGUUGUAAAGCCCUUUUGUUGGGAAAGAAAAGCAGCAGGUUAAUACCCCGCUGUUCUGACGGUACCCAAAGAAUAAGCACCGGCUAACUUCGUG